rnacentral:rRNA from 1 species
CCUCUUCCCAUUCCGAACAGAGAAGUUAAGCCCGUCAGCGCCGAUGGUACUGCACACGUGGGAGAGUAGGUAGUCGCCAACU